CCAAGAAUUGCAAAUUAGCAUGAUCUCAAAAUCAUUGCAUAAUGGUUGGGAGGCUUUCUCCCUGGAGACCACAAACCACCUCAAGGGCAUUGUUCUAGAGAUCCUGACGGAUCGUGUCCCACCAGUCCUGUUUGCACUCUGCCAAGAAAGGGCCAUCAUAUUGGGACAGAGUUGCUUUUAGCCUCUGCUGGAACUCCUCCUCGGAUGGACGCUGCACGGGUGCAAGCUCUAUCCAUCUUGGCAAAUUCCAGAAGGCUGGAGCCGUAGCGGUGACCUUUCACGUGUCAGAGAUCGGCUCUUGCAUGGCUGGAGCCGUAGCGG